GACUACAUUUCCCGGCAGGCAGCGCGGGCCCGCCUGCGGCGUGGAGAGAAGCCGGUCGCUCGAAGAUGGCGGUCGAUAAGGACCUGCUGCAGCUGGACCUGUACGGCCUGCUGGGGGUCGGCGAGAAGGCGUCGGAGAAGGAGGUUAAGAAAGCGUACCGCCAGAAGGCCCUGACCUGUCACCCAGAUAAGAACCCAGACAAUCCCAGAGCAGGUCUCUUCCAUAAGGGAUUGUCUUUUUUGGUUCAUCUCCAAGCCACUGCCAUGGUUUUCUGCAUCUUACCCUUUUUUCUUCUAAUUCCCAGCGGAAGUCUUCCACCAACUGUCUCAGGCCUUAGCUGUGCUAACAGAUGCAGCAGCAAGGAUCUUGAAGCCAGGGAACGAGAAGCUCAGACGCGUGACAAUGAAGAGGAGGAGAUCCAGAUAACAAGGACCUUAGAACAAGAGAUAAUACGGCUGCGUGAAGAAGGCUCUCGUCAGCUUGAAGAGCAGCAGAGACUCAUUCGAGAACAGAUCCGGCUUGAAAGAGAGCAGCGCAUCCAAGGCAGGCAAGAAGGAAAUGAAGCAGAAGGCAGAAUAACUCCCAAACUCAAACUAAAAUGGAAAUGCAGGAAAGAAGAUGAGACAGGAGGGGGAUACUCAAAAGAUGUUCUGUUGCGGAUUCUCCAAAAGUAUGGUGAUGUGCUAAAUUUGUUGAUCUCCAGCAGGAAGACUGGGAGUGCAGUUGUGGAAUUUGCUACGGUUAAGGCUGCUGAGAUGGCUGUGAAGAAUGAAGUUGGCCUGACAAAUAAUCCUCUCAAGAUUUCGUGGCUGGAAGGCCAGCCUCAGAACAAUUCCAGCACUGUCCUUACUGACAGCAGUAGUCAGCCUAGGACUUCACAGGCGUCUGUGGUCUCAGAGCGGGAUUACGAGAGCCUGGUGAUGAUGCGGAUGCGCCAAGCUGCGGAGAGGCAGCAGCUGAUUGAACAGCUCAAGCGGGAAGACGAGGAAGAGUCUCACACCUAGCAGGAGAGAGAAUACAGACUGCAUGUGACUGCAGUGCUUUCCAGAGAACAGGGAAAGAUGGAUGCAUAAGCUUCAGAGUAAGUGUUACCCUGUCAGUCUUGCGUACUCAGAGUAGCUGCUCAGUCAGAGGACAGGAUUUUGAGAGGUGCUGUCUGAACAAACAUCAAACCUUUCAAAGCCUGGAGCUCUGUAAUUCCUGAAAGCUUGCUUGGGAGCUGUGAAUCCAGCAGGCUUUGGGCACUUCAGAACAAACCACACAAAGAUGUAGGUCUCUUCAGAGAAAUAUUUUAUUGGGGUUACCUUUACAGCACAAUUGACGCUGUCCCAAACAAUUAUCAGCAGCAGUUGCAAUACUGAAGCUUACAGAGCAUAUACCUGAAAUGUUCACAAAACCUUUCUGUGCUGAUCUAAGGUAUUUCAGGAACCACUAUGUUAUGCUUGAAUGGCACUCUUGGGACUGAACGUCUGAUGCUGCUAACCAUGAUGCAGUAUGGGAGGGAAAUUGACCUUGCUGCUGAGUGGAGGGAUUCUCAUAGAGCACUGUGUGAGAUUAGCAGUUCCUGCUUUCGUUCUGGGGACGAGACAGUAUGCCAUCAGUGCUUGACCUCCCAUCCCUGCCCCCCUAGGUCUGGGAGGAGGCAUGUUCUGAACUCCUGUUUAGCAUGCACCCCCAGGACAGCCCUGAGGAACAGACAGGCAAGUCUGUUAUUUGAGCUCCUUCCAAUGCAUGCUAAAUAGAUUAUUAAAAUGUAAAAAGAUGGUAUUUGCCAGACUGCUAUUUGGAUGAAUGUGGAGUUAAAGCCAUCUGUUAUGUGUGCUUGAUAUAGUCUGGGCUGGGAUAGCUUCCUCCCCCCAGGCCUUAUGAAAUGGCAGGGAUGGUGAGUUUCCAUUAGGUGAAGUCUUGCCCCCACAACACUCCUCCCCCCACACCUGAGCAUCUGGAACAGAAAGGAAUUAUUCAAAGAAAAAAAAGCUUGCUUUAAGUCCUGUGUGAGGUGAUUGCCAGCAGGGUCCUUCCCCAGAUGGAGUGCGGAAGUCUCCUCGCUAUUCCUUGUGGAGGCACCACACCAAGGUCUGGCCCACGCCUGUCAUGCUGACCACGCGGUAACCAUACCUCUCCAGCUUGUUCAGGACUAUCCGUGGUGCAUCGUCCACAUAGUACUCCCAGCUGCAAACAGGAAGAAGAAGAAAGAUGAGGUGGAGAAGGAAGAGACAAGAAUUUCCUUGUGGAACUGAGUCUGCAUUGCUAAUAAACUGGUAUAAAACACUGCAGUGACCGCAGCUGGCAUACUGCCUGUGUGUUGCAACAUCUUGGUUAACCAGAUGGGGAAGGACAAAACCCACAGCUCCUAAACCAAGGAAAAAGCCUGCCCAGAAUGGAAUUCAGCUUUAAAUUGAAGUGUGGUUUGGGGAUCAAUUGUCCAAAGCCACGUGUUUCAUGGUAAACUGGGCUGAAACUGCAGUGGCGGGAGUUUGCAAGUAUGCAUAGCUCAGAAUUCAUGGAAAAAUAGGGUAGUCUCUGCAAAGCAGGAAAAAAUGUAGGACAGCAGCUUCAAACAGUGUCAUAACAGCACACAACAGCUAGGGCUUUUUGUUUGCUAUGAGAGUGUAGCUGUUCCCAUGUUCCUGCAAGUAGCAGACCUAAGUAACAACUUGCUGGGCCCAAUACCUCCCUGUUACCAGGCCCUGUUUGCUGUUGCUGGCACCCAGGCCUCUGUUUACAUGGCUGGGCCAUUCUAGAAGCUUUACACAGAUUGAUUCAGGUGUUCCAAAGGAAUGGGAAACCAAUGUUCUACAUAUGUCAAAGCAUGUCUGUGAGUUGGGCUUUUGUGAGCCUGUGCUUGAAAUUUGGGGGGCUGGGAGGCAAAAAUGCUGCCUUCAGCAAGGCAUUAGGCAUUUGGAAAAAUAGAAGUCCUCUGUCCCCAACACAGCUGCCAAAUAAGGUGGAGCACAGAAUUCUCUACCCUGGCAAUUCACAGCGGUUGUAUGGCUGUGGAUGACUGAGAACCGAUACUUGGGAUCUUUGCCUAGCUUUUGCUCCUUUACAGUUCCUGCCAGCUCUGUGUGUUUGGAGCAGGAACUACCCUUGCCUCCACCUGGUCCUGCAGGCUCAGCAGAAGACCUGAGGGCUGUGAGAAUGCUCCCACGAUAAAGGAAAUAGGUGGUGGUCGUGGAGUGGAAGAACAGCACAAUACGGACACAAAAUGUGCUGAAUGAGGUUGGGAAGCAGCAGAGCCGAAAUGGCAAGUGUAACCUUCAGUGCUGGCUCCGGCAGCCUCUCCGUUCCUCUAACAGCCAUUUUGGCUGCAGUAUUUAUUCAAGCAGAUGGGAUGAGCUUCAUAAUUGUUCAUUUCUUAGAUGACUCACUGUGCCAGAUAAGCUGAUAAUGAUGGGCUAUGGGAUCUUCGGUGAUCUUGUUUGGGCAUCUCAACAAAGCCUGUCCUGACUUUCAUACCAGUAACAAUAAGAAAGACCAAAAAGCAUUUGCAAAGUUUCUAAGGUUGCAAAACAUUAAUAGUGGUGAAUACUUUUUAAAGCCUGAAAUAACACUAAGAUGUGAAAGUUUUUUUCAGUUUCUCAAGACAGACUAUACUUUGCUGUAAUUAUAGAUGUGGUGUAAAGAUAAUAUGUAUUAUUAUAAGUGUCUUUGAACUUGUUGCUUUCUCUAAGAGGCUUGCUACAUACCCUUCGGAUUCACAUGUUCAAGUUGGUAAAUAUUAUUGCCAUUACGCAGAAGGAGCUGAGGCAGGGAUUGUUUGCUAUUUGUAGGAGCCUAAAAAACUGACUGGCUGAGCUAAAAGCAGAAGACAAGCUGAGUUGCCUAGGGCCUUAAACACAACUCUGCAGUUGAAUGAAACAAAAGAUCACACACAACGUGUAUUGAGCACACCGCCCUCUCCGUCUGAAUCAGGAUGGAGUGGCUGGGACCACUUGUAAAGCUCUUCCUCCCAGCCAAGAGCCAGCAGGGAACAGAGAAGUUGCCCCAGAUGGGAGAAGACUUCUGCACUUGCACAUUGAGGCGCUUAUAAUUACAGGAGGACAUCGCCGAGUGAUCAUCACAUGCACGUCCACCUGGGCACGCAGGUUGCCCAAGAAGCCCCUGUUCUGCAGCAGCCAAAGGUUUUUGGUGCUGCGGCAGUGAGGAGCUGGACCUCGAUGCUUGCCAGCCCGGUGCUGAGGAGGUGGGUCUUCCCAGCCCCGCCGGCGGCAGUCUGAGAACAUUCUGGGACCAAGAAGCCCCUUCUGCUUCACGCCUGGUUUUCCUCCUACUCCUCCUCUGUGCUGUGGCACGAGUGGGCAAGCUUGAGCAACAAU